rnacentral:rRNA from 1 species
AACGAACGCUGGCGACAUGCCUAACACAUGCAAGUCGAACGAGAUCUUCGGGUCUAGUGGCGCACGGGUGCGUAACGCGUGGGAAUCUGCCCUUUGGUUCGGAAUAACAGUUGGAAACGACUGCUAAUACCGGAUGAUGACGAAAGUCCAAAGAUUUAUCGCCAGAGGAUGAGCCCGCGUAGGAUUAGCUAGUUGGUGUGGUAAAGGCGCACCAAGGCGACGAUCCUUAGCUGGUCUGAGAGGAUGAUCAGCCACACUGAGACUGAGACACGGCCCAGACUCCUACGGGAGGCAGAAGUGGGGAAUAUCGGACAAUGGGCGAAAGCCUGAUCCAGCAAUGCCGCGUGAGUGAUGAAGGCCUUAGGGUUGUAAAGCUCUUUUACCCGGGAUGAUAAUGACAGUACCGGGAGAAUAAGCUCCGGCUAACUCCGUGCCAGCCGCCGCAGUAAGAC